rnacentral:lncRNA from 1 species
GAUGCUCCUCCUUCCUUCGAUCUCCACUUCGCUGGCUAAAAGAAAACCAAAACGUCAUGUUUUCAUUAAUUUUUACUUAAAAUAGAACAUACUAUAAAAUAAGAAAACAAGAUGACUAAGAAAAAUUAACUGCCCAACCAAAUACUAGACAACCCUACAUGAUAACUAAAUGGACAUUAACAAUCAAUCAACAUCAUUAAAAAAUAUCGAAUCU